GCUUAACGCGAAGAACCUUACCUAGGCUUGAACUCCUACGAAUCCGGGGUAAUGCCUGGAGUGUCCGCAAGGAAAUGUAGUGAGAGGUGCUGCAUGGCUGUCGUCAGCUCGUGUUGUGAAAUGUUGGGUUAAGUCUCGCAACGAGCGCAACCCCUACUCGUCUGUUGCCACGCAUUAAGUUGGGUCGACUCUGACGAGACUGCCUGGGUUAACCGAGGAGGAAGGUGGGGAUGACGUCAAGUCCUCAUGGCCCUUAUGUCUAGGGCUACACACGUAAUACAAUGGCGCGUACAAAGGGAAGCGAACUCGCAAGGGGGAAGCGAAAUCUACAAAAGGCGCGCCUCAGUUCGGAUUGGAGUCUGCAACUCGACUCCAUGAAGUUGGAAUCGCUAGUAAUCGGAGAUC
rnacentral:rRNA from 1 species